AGUUCUGGGGGUCAGAAGGUGAGUCAGGGGUGCAGGGAAGGGGGAUGUUGCCAUGUGGCUCCACAAACACUGAACUUGCUCUGUGCUUGGCACUGAGCAGGAUACAGGGGAGGAGACAGUGAACAAGACAGAGUCCCUCCCUUGGCAAACUCAUCCUUUAUCUACUAUGGUAAUGAGUGGGGAGGGCAAGUUCAAUUCAGGGGCUCUGAGGGGCCCCAAAUGAGGAGUUUGAACUUCAACUUGGGGACCUGAAGAGCCCUGCAAUCUCCUGACAGCCUCGAGCUCAGAGCAGAGCUUAGAGGGUAGAAGUUGAGCUCUGGAGCCAGAGAGGCUUGGUGUUCAUAUCCUGGCUUGGCCAUAUCCCAUCCAGGAAGACCUGGACAAGCCAUUGUCCCACUGGAGCCUCAGUAUCCUCCUCUAUACGAGAGAAUAAUCACGCCAGUCUCUGAGCAUUAUUGUGAAGAAUCAGUGAGAUGAUGCAUGUUGUGGGGCUUACACAGUACCUGGCAGGCAGAUGGUGCUCAGAAGUGGCACACCCUGGGCUGGCUGGAGUAUUAGCCCCCACCCCCACCCCCCAGCAGUCAUGGCUCCUUUGCUUCCGCACAGUGGUGGCCUGGUGCUCCUGAAGGUGAAGGCAAAAGUGCAGCAGUACCUGCAGGAGCAGUGGCCAGUGCCCGUUUUGUUUGCUUUGACAGUUCAGUGUUGUCCUGACAAGACAGCCCUGAUCUUCCAGGGCACAGACACACUGGACCUUUUGCCAGUGGGAUGGCUAUUCGAACAGCAUGGCCAAAUUCCUGCAUGCCCAGAGCCUGGCCUCCUGAGAUGUGGCUGCCGUCUUCAUGGAGAACUGCAAUGAGUUUGUGAGCCUGUGGCUGGGCAUGGCCAAGCUGGGUGAGGAGGCAGCACUUGUCUACACCCAGCCUCCAGCUGGACACCCUGUGCCACUGCCUGACCACCUUCAGGGCACAGGCCCUCAUCUUUGGCAGUGAGAUGGCCCUCAGUGAGCCCCAGGGAGUGACCAGUGGUGGUAGGGUGUCCCUUAGGACCUUGUGCAGCCCACCCACCCCUGGGUGGCAGAGGCUGUGUGGCUCGGUGGUCAAGGGCAUGAGCCCAAGAGUCAGACCAGCUGGGCUCUGCCACUUGUAAGCUGGAGAUCCUAGUAAGAGACCUGGGUUCUCUGAGCCUCCAUUUCCUCAUUUAUAGAAUCUCCCUCAAAAAGUUUUCAGGAAGGUACUUCACCUGAAGGGCUAAGCACAUUGUGUGAUGUUGGUUAAACACCCUGAUAAAAUGAGACUCAUUAGGCCUCGUUUGCCUCAUCUGUAAAAUGGGAACACAAAUCUAUUCCCUGCUGUCUUCAGAGCUUGUGUUUUAUUUGCUACUACAUUGAGCACUGACAGUGCACUGAGCUUGGUACUUUAGAAGCAGUAGCUUAAUCUUCACAAAGAUAGGGUAAGGUAAGGAGUGUCAUAUAGGUUUUACGGAUGAGGAGACUGAGAUUCAGAGGAGUUUGAGGAACUCACCAAGGUCACACAGCUGGUGAGUGGAGGAACUCAGGUUUGAUCUUGGGCUUGAUCAGUGUCUGUGUUCUUUCUCCCGACACUGCUGUGGUGGUAGGAUAAUGGACAGGGAAGGUUAUUAAGAUGCAGAAAGGGGAAGAUUUAGUGGGGAGAGGGGAGAGGUUUGGACAAACAUGAGGAAGCCAGAGGAAGGGGGGCUGAGCAGGCCAGGACCGGCCCAUGACCAGGGCACAGGAUUAUCUGGGUGUCUGUGCAGGACCCAGGGGAGCCCGAGAGAAGUUUCCCACUCUCUGAAGGGGCUCGAGAUUACUGGACUCUGUCCCCCAACUUCUCCCUUUUAAUUAGACCCCCAAGGAGUAGUGUAGGACAGUGGUGAAGUGCUCAAACCUUGGUGUGAGACAGAACUCGCAUUGGAUCCGAGGUUCAGCACAUUUAGUUGUGAGAAAGACCCUCCUAUUCUCACAGCCUCCAGUUCCUCAUGUGAAAAACUGGCAGUUACUGGUACCUACUUUAUAGGGUCGUGUCAGCAGGAGAAGGCAUGUAAAGAACCUGCUGUGAUGAGAGCCAGCUGUUAAUGAGAAUAUUGCUCUAAUCAGCUUCUUCCUUGCUGUCUGUGAGAUCCCUGCCGGCCUGGGUCCCUCACUGAGCCUCUUCUGCUCCGGCCCCUGGGAGCCCAGGGCAGUGCCCACUGGCACAGAGCACCUGGACCCCUAGUGGAAGAUGCCCCCAGCACCUGCCCAGUCCCCCUGAGAAGGGCAUCACAGGUGGGUUCCUCACCCCCACAGAAGGGUCCCAAGAUGGGCUGAAAACAGAGCACUGACCUUGGGGCCAGAAGAUGUGGAUACUUCUGUGGGACACUCCAGGGGUCACUGAAGGGUUAAUGGGCUAAUGUGUGAAAGUGCCCAGCACACGAAGUCCAGUUCUUUGAUUUGUUGAAUGAGCCAUCCUUGAUGCCUGACUUGAGCAGGAUCAUGUGGACCCCAGGAAGCUGCUGUGUCCGAAUUUUGGCUGGGGGAGGGGGUUAGAGGCAAGACGUUCAAUAGUCAUCAAGCCCCUUUUCAGUGUAAGACAUUGCUGGGUCUCCGCCUUGUUCUCCCUGCACUGGGCUGCCUGCCUUCCCCUCCACCUCCUCCAGGCAGCCUUCCUGAGCUGCACCUCUCUCCCUCUACACUCCAGCCUGCCUUGCCCCUUUGGCUCUCACACUUUCCUUGUGAAACUGCUCAGCUUGCUGCAUUGACUGGUGGCUCAGAGCUUGAGCUGUCAAACUAGAUCUGUGUUCAUAUCCCAGCUCUACCUCUUACCUUCAGUAACUCUGAGAACCUGACCUUGUAUUCCCUCUGCCAUAAAACUGGGGACAGUAAAAGCACCUAGUUUAUAGGAUGGCUCUGAGGAUCGAAAAGAUACAGUGGGUAAAGCCCUGAUGAUAGAGUGUGGCAAGAAGUGCUGAGUAACUGCUCGUAGUCAUUCUUAUUUAAGCUCCCUUGCAUGCAUGUCCUGUCUCCUUGGUGCUUUUGUCAGUUGCCUGAGGGCAGAGACUGGCUGAUUCACCCUGGUACCCUCAUGGUGCCCAGCCUAGGGCUGGCGUAUGGCAGGCAUUCAGAGAGCAUGAGAUGGUUGCUAUUUAAUAUGCAGAGUCAUCCCACAGAAUUCCCGACCUCAGGAACCUCAGGUGUGGUGGGACUGAACCUCAUUCAGGAAUGAUAAUGUGACGGUCCUUGCUCAGGCGUGAAGUGUGGGGUACAUAAGUGGUCACUGGUGUAGAAGCUGCCCAGUCUCUUCCUCCACCUGGAACACCCCACUUCCUGCAUAAUGCCUACCCACACUCUUAAGGCUUGGCAUGGGCAUCACCUCCUUCAGGAAGCCCACCCUCGGGCUCCCACCUCCCCUCAAGCCUGGGUCAGGUGCCUCUGCUGUGUGUUGACAGGUCCUGUGCUUCCCACCCUCAUCCCAGCACUUUGUGCCUGGUACUGGAAUUGCCUGUGCACUCAUCUGACUGUCCCAUUAGGCUGUGACCUCCUCUAGGGCCGAGACUAUGCCCAUCUUAGUCCCUCUUAUAUCCCCAGGCUUGGCUCGGGCAAUGUUUGUUGAAGGAAUAAAUGCAGGUACUUAGAGCAGAGAGCAGUGUCUGGGGUCAUCAGAGAAGGCUUUCCAGAAGAGGUGUAAUGGGAACAGGCACUAAAGGAGGUUCAGAUGCAGGUGUCCGUCUGUCUGACUCUUUGUCCAGCCCUGUGCCAAACUGGGGUUGCUGUGCCCCCUCUCACAGCCACUCAUGUCUGCUUUCUCUCAGAUAAGCUCUUAUAUCUACAUGUCAGGCACCACGGGGUAAGGGACAGGUGCCUGGAGGGUGUGCAGGGCCUGGGAGCCUCUCCUGCCUCUCCAGGGCCUUGGGAGUCCUUCACCCUCUCCCCUCCUAGGUAUUACCACGUGGCUGCCCUGGUGUACCACGGAUUGCGCAUGCGGCCAGAUGACAUUGUUUACGACUGCCUUCCCCUCUGUCGCUCAGCAGCUGCAUCCUGACCUUCGUGUACCGCAUCCAGCUGGGGCAUGUCAAUGAGGACACUGCGGAGCUGAUAUGGGGGCCCUGUGAUGUCUGCGUUCCCUGCCAACCAUGUCUGCGAGGGGCUGGAGUUGGGGGUUGUUCCAGGAGAGAGCACAGGUACAGAAGACUCUGUCCAGGCUGCCUGGGUUUGAUCCUGGCUCAGCCACUUGGCUCUGGGACAUGGACAAGUUAUUCAGCCUUUCUGCCUGAGUUUCCUCAUCGGCAAAUGGGAAUGAAAGCACCCACUCCAUCAGGCUGACCUGAGGAUUAACUGUGAUAGUGUAAAGCUCCUCCAGGCACAGAGUCGGUAAGCACUAGCUUUGGUCAGACUGUCCACAUAGAGCUUGGCCACCCAUUGUUUAUUUGUUCAUCUUCCCAUCCAUGCAGUAAACAGACAUUACUGAGAUCCUUCCUGUGCCAGAGAUGCCAAGAUAAGCUCCCUGACCUGAGGGAGCUCCCGGGCUAGGGGGAGAAAUGGGGAAUUUACCUGGGAAACAGUGUGAAAAGAAGUUAGAUCAGGACACAGGGUGUGUUCAGGGGUGGAAUGAACAGGUGGAAGAGACAACCUGGGGAUGCUUCCAAAUCUGACUCUGCCUUCCCUGGCCCCAGAUGAGCCAGGCCAGCUAGUGGGCCACAUCAUCCCGCAGGACACCCUGUGCUGCUUUGAUGGUUACCUCAACCAAGGCACUAACAAGAUCACCAAGUGUAUUAGGGUUCUCUAGGGAAACAGAAUCAAUGAGAGGUGUCUCUGACUAUCAAAUUGUAAAAGUGACUCACGCAAAUGUGGGUAUGCACAAGUCCAAAUU